AUGUGCCUUCCUCAGUUGCCUCAUACAGCAGCUAGUGGCUAUAAUGAGAUGUUGGGCAUCAAGAUGAAACUAUGCUGGUGUCUUUUAGCUUAUGCUGGUCUGACUUUGCAAGACAGUGUCACUCAGUUUCCAAGCUUUGUAUCUAAAAGUGAAGGUGCUGAGAGUACUCUGAACUGCACUUACGAAUACACUAGUAGCACAGCUGCAGCUCAACUUUCUCUGCAAUGGUACAAACAAACUCGGAAUGGGGUCCCUCAGUAUAUGAUACAGCGCUACGGUACUGGCCAAGAAUUAAAGGAAAGUAGUAUGGAAAACCGUUUUUCAACAUCACUAAAUAUAUCUCUCCGAAGGACAUCUUUAACAAUAAGCAAACUGAUGCUGAAUGAUACAGGGAUGUAUUACUGUGCUCUGAGUCCCACAGCUGUGCGACAUCCUGUAGAUAUUUUACUAAAAAGUACACUUAUAUAAUUGCAUUCCAUCAUCUCAGCAUGUGUAAUAUUGUCUCUUUUGUAAUAAAAUAUGAAUAGCUCCUGUAUGAAGCAAGUAUGUACUGCUUGUAUAUAAUGUUUGAAAAUGUAAUGAAC